rnacentral:rRNA from 1 species
GACGAACGCUGGCGGCGUGCUUAACACAUGCAAGUCGAACGGAAAGGCCCUGCUUUUGUGGGGUGCUCGAGUGGCGAACGGGUGAGUAACACGUGAGUAACCUGCCCUUGACUUUGGGAUAACUUCAGGAAACUGGGGCUAAUAUCGGAUAGGAGCUCCUGCUGCAUGGUGGGGGUUGGAAAGUUUCGGCGGUUGGGGAUGGACUCGCGGCUUAUCAGCUUGUUGGUGGGGUAGUGGCUUACCAAGGCUUUGACGGGUAGCCGGCCUGAGAGGGGGACCGGCCACAUUAGGACUGAGAUACGGCCCAGACUGCAACGGGAGGCAGCAGUGGGGAAUAUUGCACAGUGGGCGGAAGCCGGAUACGAAGACGCCGCGUGCGGGAAGACCGCCUUCGGGGUGUGAACCGCUUUCGCCUGAGACGAAGCGGGAGUGACGGUAAUGGAUAAAGAAGCAACGGCUAACUACGUG